rnacentral:lncRNA from 1 species
CUAGGACAUGGUUCACUAUUUUUCAAUUAAAAUGAAGAAAUACCGUGUUUGUUGCAGGUUCACUUCAAGCAGUUGGCGUGUGGGACUCUGAGAGAUGCUGCUGCCCGUGACAUGUUGGGAUUACCAUGAUCAACGACCCAGUUUGGAUUUCACCCAGUGGCCAGGAGCUUUGCAUGGUGGACAGCAAGGGUUGGAUUUUUAAAAAGAGUAAACCAGAUUUGAUUUAUUUGACAGACCCAAGAGAGCACAAGGUGAGGGAAUGGCAGAGGGAAAAGAAGCAGUCUUCCUGCUGAACAGGGAGCCUGAUGUGGGACUGAAUCCCAGGACCUCAGAAUCAUGACCUGAAACAAAGGCAGAUGCUUAUCUAACUGAGCCACCCAGGCAUCUCUGCAAAUAACUCUUUUAAGAAAAUCUCCAUAAUGGCCUGGCUGGCUCAGUCAGUAGAGUAUAUGACUCUUAAGGUCAGGUUUCUAAGUUUGAGCCCCAUGUUGGAUGUAGAGAUUACUUAAAAAUAAAAUCUGAAAAAAAAAAGAAAGAAAAUCUCCAUCAUUCAUAUAUGUAUACAUGUAUAUAUAUAUAUACACGUGUCUGUGUGUGUGUGUGUGUGUGUGUGUGUGUGUGUAUUCCUGAUGACAUAGAGAUGAAGACUGACUGGAAACAACAGAGAUAAAAAAAUUUGAAUUGAAAAAUAAGUCAGCAAAGUUGGAUGCUAAUGAACAUAGACUUGUGGAAAACCUUAACCAAUGUAUGUGGCUUAUACUUUUUAUGUAGAAACCAGAGGAUAAUUUUUUAAAACUGUGUUCUAGUUAUUGAUGUUAUUAAGACUGAAAGGGUUAAUUCCCACCCACCAUUAAAUCAAUUACAGAAACUGGGAGCCAGGAGAGGGCAGCAGAGAACUAACCUAAAGAGUUUUGUUUUGCCUCCAUAAAGGGCACUUCACUUCUGUGAACAGUUCACGUAUAUGCCCUUAAGGCAGCCCCACAACAAAACUGGGGCAGGCCAGUUAUUUCUAGCCUCAUUCAGUGGACAGGGAAACAGACUUGGGGUAAGGAAGUGAGGAGAUGGAGGAAGUCCCGCUAAGGGAUGGUCUUUCCCUUCAUCUAAGAAGGAGAGUUGGACUUAUAUGCAUUCCUCUCCUUCAAAUUAUGGCAAAACCUUUGAGAAGUCUGGCGGGUGGUCAGGAGGUGAAUUAGAGAUGGGCUCUGUUGAGAUCCCGAUCCGAUAAGCUCCUGAGCAGGGUGUGUGGUAAAGAUGUCAUGAAUCAGGAUGAAGAUGUGAUCUAAGCAAUCAAACGGAAGAUGGAGGGAACUUAAGUAAACACCAAGCUAAUCCGUGAUCACUAAGCGAGCAGGAGACAAGUCUGAACUGAAUUCAAUUUGGGCCCAUGAGGAACCCCCGGAUGGCAUGUUGUGCUAGGAGUGGCUUAAAAGCCCCAGAAGUACAGGGAGUGUCUCAGUCCCCUGCCCUCUCUGGUCUUUACAAGGCUUAGCUUCAAAUAUAUUGAAAAACAGAAAAGCUCCUGGCCCCUAGGCAAUAUCUGAGGCUGACUCCAGGGUAUUGGGUACUGGUGAAGAUAUAAGUGAAAUGAACUAAAGAUAUUGGCAGUGUUUCUACCUCCCUUCUUAGCAAUUAAAACAAAACAAAACAAAGAAAAAAAGAAAAUCCGAGGGAGGAUUUCUCCUUCAUUUACUGAGUAGUUAUAGUCUAAAACUCAAGUCAGGAAAUGGAAUAUUUUGAAGCCCUACUGGGAAGGCAUAAAUGAUUCUUCACUCCAAAGAAAUUGGAGGCCUUUUGGCCUGAUAGGUGUAGUCUGGGUGAAGUAUUACUUUGUGUUGUCAAGAUUCAUUUCUUGGCUGAGCAGUCACUUCACAAAGUAAGCUCCGUGGUUGGGAUUUUUGAAGGCUUUUCCUCCUGCUGAAGCUCAGAGAUGGGGAAUGUUCAGAGAAACACAGGUACAAAAAUAUUCUCCUGAUGGCCUCAUCUUGGGAACAUCCCUGAAGAGGAAGGCAGGGAGGUGUGGCUACAGCUGUGUUUUCUUCGGGAAGGUGGCUCUCAAAAUGCAGAAAUGAAGCUUCCAUACUCCAUCUAUAGUGCAUGCAAGACAGCAACAGCAAAUGUCAGUAAAUAAAAAUGUUAC